rnacentral:rRNA from 1 species
UCUACGGGUGGCAGCAGUGAGGAAUAUUGGUCAAUGGGCGCGAGCCUGAACCAGCCAAGUAGCGUGAAGGAUGACUGCCCUACGGGUUGUAAACUUCUUUUAUAAAGGAAUAAAGUGAGGCACGUGUGACUUUUUGUAUGUACUUUAUGAAUAAGGAUCGGCUAACUCCGUGCCAGCACCCGCGGUAAUACGGAGGAUCUGAGCGUUAUCCGGAUUUAUUGGGUUUAAAGGGAGUGUAGAUGGUUUGUUAAGUCAGUUGUGAAAGUUUGUGGCUCAACCGUAAAAUUGGAAUUGAUACUGGCAGUCUUGAGUACAGUUGAGGUAGGCGGAAUUCGGGGUGUAGCGGUGAAAUGCUUAGAUAUCAAGAAGAACCCAGAUUGCGAAGGCAGCUUACUAAACUGUGACUGACAUUGAUGCUCGAAAGUGUGGGUAUCAAACAGGAUUAGAUACCCUAGUAGUC